rnacentral:lncRNA from 1 species
CCAUGUCAAAUGGUCAACUUGUGUACCUUCCCUUACGGUGAGCCACCAUUGGUAAGCCCUAUCUCGCAGCAACGACACUGCCCCCUUCAAUUUCUGUUCCACGGUACAGUCUAGAUCAUCCAUAAUCUGCUCUGUGGCCUCUAACCAAUAUUCUGCAACGUUCGGGGCUACACCAGAAACACCCCUAAAAAUCUCCACCCCAUUGGACCAGAACUAUUCUCGUA